CAAUUACUUUACAGGACUAUUGGAGGGCAAGUUCUGGUGCCAGCAGCCGCGGUAACUCCAGCUCCAAUAGCGUAUAUUAAUGUUGUUGCGGUUAAAACGUUCGUAGUUGAACUUGUGCUUCAUACGGGUAGUACAACUAUAAUUUUAGAUUGUGCUAUACCUUAUGUAUGUAAGCGUAUUACCGGUGGGGUUCUUAUAUGCAAAUGUAAUACUUGUAUUCUUUUGUAUAUUCCUCCUAUUUAAACCUGCCUCAAUGCUCUUCAUCGGGUGUUGUUGCGGGCCGGUACAAUUACUUUGAACAAAUUAGAGUGCUUAAAGCAGGCUCCAAAUGCCUGAAUAUUUUGUGCAUGGAAUAAUGGAAUAAGACCUCUGUUCUACUUUCAUUGGUUUUUAGAUCAAGAGGUAAUGAUUAAUAGAAGCAGUUUGGGGGCAUUAGUAUUACGACGCGAGAGGUGAAAUUCUUGGACCGUCGUAAGACUAACUUAAGCGAAAGCAUUUGCCAAAGAUGUUUUCAUUAAUCAAGAACGAAAGUUAGAGGUUCGAAGGCGAUCAGAUACCGCCCUAGUUCUAACCAUAAACAUUUGCCAGGCUA
rnacentral:rRNA from 1 species